rnacentral:rRNA from 1 species
CAACUUUUAACAACGGAUCUCUUGGUUCUCGCAUCGAUGAAGAACGUAGCAAAGUGCGAUAACUAGUGUGAAUUGCAUAUUCAGUGAAUCAUCGAGUCUUUGAACGCAACUUGCGCUCGAUGGUAUUCCAUCGAGCACGCCUGUUUCAGUAUCAAAA